CUCCCCGUAGCUCAGUGGACAGAGUGGCCGAUUACGGAUCGGCAAGUCGCAGGUUCGAGUCCUGCCGGGGAGGCAA
rnacentral:tRNA from 1 species